ACACACAUAUGUAUGUAUACACACACACACAUAUGUAUAUAUAUAUAUAUAAAAUAUAUAUAUACACACACACACAUAUAUGUGUGUGUGUGUGUGUGUGUGUGUGUGUGU